rnacentral:siRNA from 1 species
CUGCCGACGAGCUGUUAGCUGGGC